CUAAUGAUCGUCGCCGACGGUGCCUCCGCGAGGAGGUGAAAAGGGAACGCGGUGCGAUGCCGUGGCUGCCCCCGCAACUGUAAGCGGCGAGUUUCGCGCCAUCGGCCACUGGGAGCGAUCCCGGGAAGGCGGCGCGAAAGGCCUAGACCCGCGAGCCAGGAGACCUGCCGUCGACACUGUUCCCAU
rnacentral:ncRNA from 2 species